UUAUGUAUGUUAAUAGUAAUUCUGGUAAUGGAGCAUUAUUAUUAUAGUACAUUUGUGAUUGAUGUUAUGCCAUUGUUUUGUAUGUUUAUAGAACCACACACACAUACCAUCUCUGAGGACAAAGGAAGCAGGUUGUAUUCAGCUUUAUUGAAGAAACAGAAUUUUUCAUGCAUUCUUACCGGGUGCCCCAUGGAGACUACAUUUUUACCCCAGCCAUUUAAUUCAGCACAAAAGAAUAAUUUCCACAUCGUGUCCACCUCAACAAUCAUUGUGUGCAGUGGCUAAAAAGAUAUGUCGGGAAGUAAUAUGCUCUGGCCCGCUUCCAGCUAGUAAGAGCAAUGAGGUCCUGUCAAUUAGCUGAGACCCCACUUUACAUGGGCUGGCUCUUGAUAGGUGGGUAUUGUUGUCCCCCCCCCCAUGACUGCAUGGGCUCUCGAUCCCUGUCCUAGUAGCUAUGCAGCCACAGCCUAUUCCUGGCGGGGCCCCAAUUGUAAUUCCCCAGUUCAUACCGUUGUCACUUUACCCACUGAUUGUUUUGUUUUAAUUCCCUAAUCGCCCCCAUCUCUAGGUUAACCCAGACUGGUACGUAUCGCUCGUAUCUGAUCUGGGGGAGACUGGAGCAGGCCCCAAGAUGUAGACCCUUCUCAGGCUUGACUCGGGUGGUCGGGCUACCUAGCGGUGUUAACAAAAACCACUUGGGUCUAGCAUGGUGAGUAUCCAGCCCCCCUGGGUCCACUUGGACAGCACGCAGGGUGUGGUGGUCUGGGGCCACAGACCUUAAAUGGUGCCCAAUUUUCUACUGGUGACUAGCACCACCCACACACCAGACCAUCAUGCACUACACAUGUGAAUUGGACUAACCAAGAACAGUUUGGGCUCUCAGAUUUCUUCACCCCCCUAAAUUGUUGCAUUUUGGGAAAAGACCAGCGGGUCACGUAGAAGAAAGAUGAACAGUUUAAAGAAUUAUACUUACCUUAAGGAUGAAACACCUGAACAUCUGAUCAUUUCCUCAUUACGUUUAAUAUUAAGACAUACAAUCCCCCUGUAUCAGAGCCUAGACAUUACUACAGCCGAUCAUAAAACCCUGAGGUCAUUCCUAAGUUUAUAAAUACGGUUCCUGAGUAAUUUAUUUCUCUACAGUGAGGAAAAGGCUGAAGUAGCACUGCACCAAUUGACUAACCAGUUAACUCUUACUCUCAGAAACACUUGAUGUAGUUGCCCCUCUUAAAAGUAGUAGUCUAAGUAGUAGUAGAAAUCACACUCCUUGGUACAAUGACACCACCCGGGCCCUGAAGCAGUCUACAAAAAAAUUGUAGCAAAAAUGGCGGUCAAACUAGGAGUAUUUCGUCUUGCAUGGAAAAAUAGCCUUCUUCAGGACAAGCCAUCUCUUGCAUCUGCUACGUCUGCCUGUUUUCUCAAAACGAAUUGAACAAAACAAACGUAACCCAAAAUUUUUAUUUAGUACUGUGGAAAAAUGUAUAGCAGCAAUGAUUUUAUGAACUUUUCGAUCAGAAAAUUUAGCCUAUUAGAGACCAGAUCUCCAAACUGUCUCCUCAAUCAUACAUUACUCCUGCUAGUAUGAAUAAGCAGGCCAGUGCUUGGUUACAACAGGAAGAUGUACAGACAGCAGCGCUAAACUGUUUUACGCCCAUUGGCAUGGAUGCCAACUACCUGUCUGCUCGAUCCGAUUCCUUCAAACUGGGUUCAAGAACUCUUUCCUGUACUAGGCCAGCACUUGCUAAAAGUCAUUAACACAUCCCUACUAACAGGAUAUGUACUUGAGUCACUAAAAGUGUCAAUUAAGCCAUUAUUGAAGAAACCAAAUCCUUCCAUUUUUGAAAUUAUGGGAGAACUGUUGCUAAGCAACUUAGUGCAUACUUUAGCUCUAACGAUAUCCUUGAAAUAUUCCAAUCAGGGUUUAGACCCCGCCACAGCACAGAAACCGUACUUAACAAGGUUACUAAUGAUCACUGGCUACCUGGCUAAGAAUAGGAUAGAUUUCAAGGUUUUGCUCCUGACCUUUAAAGCUCUGGCUGAUGGAUGUGCACCAGUGUACAUAACCAACCUGCUCCUACCUUAUAAGCCCACAAGGUCACUAUUCUUAAGAUGCAGGCUACUUGGUAGUCCCAAGAAUUUCUAAAAACCUAAAAGGUGGUAGCUUUCUCCAUUUUUGUACUUUGAAAAUGUGUUUUGUUUCACAUGCUAUAUGUAACUAUACUAUAUAGCUAUAUGACACUGUAAUGAGUUAGGAUUAGAAGGAACUACUUCACCUAAAAGGUCCACAUAAUUGUAAUGUAGGUAGGAAGGCUAGUUUCAGGCAGCCAUAUACAUUUAGUUUCUCAUCACAUGUUUAAGUGUUUUAUGAGAAAAUGGAAAAAAAAAUGGUGAGAUCCCUGAGCUGAAUCUUGCAGCAUAGUGAGGUUGUACUCAGGAUAGAUAGUGGGAGUGAGAGAUGUGAUUAUAGAACAGUAGUGCUGUUUCUGAAAGGUCAAUUUACAAAAUGAAGAAAAAUGUUUACUCAAGUUAUUCAACACGAAAGUACAACUCGGGCAUUUACUCAAUGCAGUGCCUUCAUUUUUUUAGCACAGGCAAUGUUUGCAUGUUUAUAUGUGCACUCCCUCUUUCAGGCCCAAGGUCAGAGGCUCAGGUGUGUGGUUCACAGCCUGUACAAGAUAAAAAGAUAAAAGAUAAAGCCACGGGGACAAGGCCAGUCUCGUCUGAGCUUCGGGGAAGAGGACCAAUUCAUCCACAGCACUUUUGUUGAUAGAAUACUAUAGAAGUUUAGUUGAAUUUCUACACAAUUUUGUUUGUUAUAUUUAAGUAGGUUUCUCUUGUUUUUUUAAAGCUUUCUCCUUGCGCUAAACAAUGAAUUUUACAGGAAGGUACAGGAAUGACUUCUACAAAAUAUCGAUAUAACUAGCUCAACUUAUUUCUGGGUUCUAUUCAAAAAUAAAAUCAGAAUUUAAGAGGAAUGAGAGAUUAUAUCAUCAUGAUUCAGCUGACGAUUUUAAUUUACCACUAAUUGCAGAAGACACCCUGUGGCACCUGGAUGAGCCCUACAGUCUCGGAUCCGAUCCGGACUGUGCUAGUGCCAACUGUGGCUGGGGUCUCCAUAGAGCUGCAUUGCGGUCAGGGUUAGGGAGGGUUCAGUCUAUUAGGGAUCCUAACAACCCCCGCUGGUGGAUUGGGUGCCCAUUGACUGCAUGUUAAAGCUGUAUAUGAAAGGUAUUCCUCCAACUGCAGGCAAGUUUAGCUGUAGUUUGUGGUCUCAAAAGUAGCAGACUGGCAAUACAAGACCUACAGACUGUUUUCCAUUCCAAAUUAGGGUGGGAACUGGACAUGCUCAGCCCUGCUGUGCGUGUGUUUGUUUGUACGUGUGUAUUUGUGCUUGUUUUUGCGUGCGUGUGUGUGUUUGUUCAUGUGCAUGCAUGUGUGUGUAUGUAUAUGUGUGCGCAUGUAUGUACAUGUGUGUUUGUGGUCAAUAUUAUACAAUUUAAUAUGUAUGUUAAGUAUUAUGACUGCUGGUGUUUUUCUCAAUUGCUAUUGCUGUGUAAAGUGGAUGCAUGUCUGAUAUUGCAUUAAUUUUGCUUGCUUGUUUCUAACAUUCCAGGUUAACCUGAAUGAAUACAUAAAUAAAUCUUCACUAUUUAACAAUAAUGGAUGACUGCUCACACCAUGGACAUGUUGAAAGCUGCUAACACCUUUCUUCCAUCAUGAACACUUGAUCAACACACAUUAUUAUUUAACGAGCAAAAGUGUUUUUACUGUGAUUUCAUAUUACAUUUCUGUGUUAAGUUAUUGUUAGCAUAUUUCAUUUGAGGACAGACCAUUAUCCAGUGUGAUUUGGUUUAAUUUUGAGUGUAUUAAAUCUUAUGCUUACAGUUCAAACAAUUACAUUUUCUUCCCUGAAACACUGAGAUUGAAUCUGAACUGAUGUCUAUGGAACUGGAACUUUAAAUAAUGUUUGUGGGUUAUCAAGUCACACCUGUGUGAAAUAUCUGAAGAGACUUGGGUUUCCUGUAAUUCAGAUUAUUUUUUUCACCGUGCAAAUCACAAGAAACAACUGGUUAAAUGAGAUCUCUUACUAUUGAUGGUGGCUGGCUCGGGGUGACACCAUGUGUCAUUAGGAGUAGCUAAUGUAUAACCAAAGGAACACUGUUCAGCAUAUGCCUGUCCUGUCCUACUGUCCUUCCCUGUUGUGUAUUCUCAGUCACAGCAAAGUAAUUACUGAGCACUGGCUCCUCUGGCUAUGCCACUGCACUCCACUCAGGGCAACAUAGCUCAGGAGGUAUAAGGGUUUGUCUGGCAGUCGGAGGGUUGCCGGUUCGAUCCCACACCCUGGGCGUGUCGAAGUGUCCCUGAGCAAGACACCUAACCCCUAAUUGCUCCCAACGAGCUGAUUGAUACCUUGCGCGACAGCCUUUCACCGUUGUGUGUGUGUGUGAAUGGGUGAAUGAGGCAUCAAUUGUAAAGCGCUUUGGAUAAAAGUGCUAUAUAAAUGCAGUCCAUUUACUGGCCCAGACUACUAUACUGUGGGCAUCACGUAACCCUAAACCCGACCUAACCCUAAGCCCAACAUUCUGCAUGUUUUGUGAUCACUUCACCUUGUUGAGAUUUUAUCUGUAUAUUAAAUUUGUUUAAACUAUUUGUUAUACUCAAUUGUUCUGAUUGCACACAAGCUAAGAAUCAUGUUUUUGCUCACUGCAACCAAACUCAAUGACUGAGGAAAACAUUUCACUUCACUGAUAACCGUACACAUGUAGUUCUGGAGGUAGUGUUGCAGGUCUCCUUUUUCCUCCGUUCAGCAUAAUGAGUUGUCUGCAGGGUCAAGGCUGCACAGGAUUGCCUCCCCCUCUCAGGGUAAUAUUUGACUUCAUGUGGGAGGAGGCUAUGAGAAGAGCCUGGGAGCUGCUCCAUGUUCAGAUCAGGUGCCGAUCUGACCCCUCAGAGGAAGGACGACCCUGAGCUGUGCAGGCCGUCGGGCCAUAUUGCCAUGGAUUCUUCUGCUGGAACAUGGUGCUUCACUUCAGUGCGUCAGCUCUGAAUAGACGAUGGGACGCCGCUAUUUUCAAUGAGCGAGACUGGAGGCCGAUUGUAGCACUUCCUAAUCAGCCUCAUGCAAUGGAUACUGGGAAUGCACAACAUUGCACAGGUGCCAAGUCUCCAAUUUGUGAUACGAAAGAGACUUCUUGUUGUAACUGUUGCAGAAGUAGUUUAUAGCAUCAGGGUUAGAAAGAAAGUCAUUCACAAAUCAUCGUAGACAUUUUGAUGUAUGAAAUUAUUCCUCAUUCUCAAAAUAACGGACUAUAAUGUAUAGCAUGGACAAUAGAUUCCCACUUUCCAUACGGUGAACCAGUUUCUGGAUUUUUAGGGAGCUUCCUCUUCAAACUUUGCAGCACAGUCCUUCAAGGCUGUAGGUUUAUGACGUCAUUAUUUGUGCUCAGAAGCUCAAUCUUUACUUCUGCAGGCAUGUUAUGAGAGAAAUCCUGGCCUCCUGGCUUCUGCCCUCAGCUGUCAGUAACUGGAAUCUGUCACUGCAAAGAAUCAAAGAGCAGGGCUGAUCCUGUUGCUGCCCCCUGGUGGCAGGGAAGACUGCACACCAGAUCAGGUUGCACUGUCUCAGAGUACAGAUAUGAUGGGUUGCUGAUCUCUCUGAAUACAUAGGUGAAUUCAUGGCUUUUUGAUUACCCUUUUGAAUUUUAAUGGUUGCUGUGUUCCAUAACAAAAUAUGAGCUGGAUGCACAGAACAGCAUGAACAGUACAACAGGACCAAGUAGCUGAUAGAAGUGUUUUGUAAGUUGCCCAGGUCUUUUACCUUAUCACUUAUCUUGCUUCUAUUAGAAGGGUCUGUAUGUUUUGUUUCCUGUUCAUUGGUGUUUUUAAUGCAAUCACAGAAUUCUGGAAUAGGGAGGAAUAUUUGAACCACUGACAACAGUACCUGCAGGGGGGAAAGAAGGGGAUCAGAAAUAUGCAUGACAGAUAGGAAACUGUCCAGGUGUAAUUAUAUGAAAGCCUGCCACAAUCAGAUCUACAUUUUUUUUCAGACAUUCAGCAGGUAAUUCUGACACCCUGCAAAACGUGGUGUUCCAAAAACAGAUGCUAUUCAAAUGAUCCUGCCACUUUUCAAUUCCCAGGGUUGGGCAAUAAACUGUUGCACAAUCA